UGCAUUUCAUUAGAGAAUAGAAUUAGAGUGCUGUUGAGGCAGCGCACGGCCCUCUAAAAAGCAUGUUUGGAAGCUAGGCUACAGAUCUGGUAGAUACAGCUGUGCCAGCUGGAGAAGGAAGCAUCCCCUGGUGAUUCCCUUUACCCAUUUAGUUGAUUCCCA